CGUGCAAACGUUGUUCGGAAUCACUGGGCUUAAAGGGCGCGUAGGCGGGCCAGUCAGUCUGUGGUGAAAGCCUCCAGCUUAACUGGAGAAGUGCCGUGGAUACUGCUGGCCUCGAGGAGGGUAGGGGCAUCUGGAACGGUCGGUGGAGCGGUGAAAUGCGUUGAUAUCGACCGGAACUCCGGUGGCGAAGGCGAGGUGCUGGGCCCUUUCUGACGCUGAUGCGCGAAAGCCAGGGGAGCAAACGGG
rnacentral:rRNA from 1 species